rnacentral:rRNA from 1 species
UACGAAGGGGGCUAGCGUUGUUCGGAAUCACUGGGCGUAAAGGGCGCGUAGGCGGCUUUAUAAGUCGGGGGUGAAAGCCUGUGGCUCAACCACAGAAUUGCCUUCGAUACUGUAGAGCUUGAGACCGGAAGAGGUAAGUGGAACUGCGAGUGUAGAGGUGAAAUUCGUAGAUAUUCGCAAGAACACCAGUGGCGAAGGCGGCAUCCUGGACCGGUAUUGACGCUGAGGCGCGAAAGCUAGGGGAGCAAACGGG